GACGAACGCUGGCGGCGUGCUUAACACAUGCAAGUCGAACGGAAAGGCCCUGCUUUUGUGGGGUGCUCGAGUGGCGAACGGGUGAGUAACACGUGAGUAACCUGCCCUUGACUUUGGGAUAACUUCAGGAAACUGGGGCUAAUACCGGAUAGGAGCUCCUGCUGCAUAGUGGGGGUUGGAAAGUUUCGGCGGUUGGGGAUGGACUCGCGGCUUAUCAGCUUGUUGGUGGGGUAGUGGCUUACCAAGGCUUUGACGGGUAGCCGGCCCGAGAGGGUGACCGGCCACAUUGGGACUGAGAUACGGCCCAGACUCCUACGGGAGGCAGCAGUGGGGAAUAUUGCACAAUGGGCGGAAGCCUGAUGCAGCAACGCCGCGUGCGGGAUGACGGCCUUCGGGUUGUAAACCGCUUUCGCCUGUGACGAAGCGUGAGUGACGGUAAUGGGUAAAGAAGCACCGGCUAACUACGUG
rnacentral:rRNA from 1 species